UGAGUUGCUUGAUGUACAUAAGCAGGUGCAUCACCUACUUAACCAAUUGGUGUCUUAAAAUGGACCAAAAAAAGAGUAUCUAGAUGAUUUUUUUUUGUGGUCAAUAAAGCUCCAUAUAAAUCCAAUAUGAGCUGAUCUUUUCACCCAUUUUAACACAUAAUAUUGAGAAUUAGCUCUAGCUUUCUCUCUCUCUUUUCUUGUAAAGAUUAAAACAACAACCUUAAAGUUCUUCUAGAGUUUUGAAGAAACCCUCAUAUCUACAAACCAAGUGUGAAGGGAAGUUGAAGUUCUAGAAAAAUUCAAGUUAUAAGGAGAAGUUGUAGAAAUUGAGGUACUCUAGCUAUUAGACCUUGUCAAUAGGUGCACACGACCCUCAACUACUUUUGGUGAGCUCCAGGUUGAUUCAGAUCUUUGUUGAGUCCUUGGUAGAUUCAUUUUGGAAUUUUAUUAUAGUUAAGGAUA